UACGUAGGGUGCGAGCGUUAAUCGGAAUUACUGGGCGUAAAGUGUGCGCAGGCGGCCGCGCAAGUCGAGUGUGAAAGCCCCGAGCUUAACUUGGGAAUUGCGCUCGAAACUACGUGGCUGGAGUGUGGCAGAGGAAGGUGGAAUUCCGGGUGUAGCGGUGAAAUGCGUAGAGAUCUGGAGGAACACCGAUGGCGAAGGCAGCCUUCUGGGCCAACACUGACGCUCAUGCACGAAAGCGUGGGGAGCAAACAGG
rnacentral:rRNA from 1 species